AACGAACGCUGGCGGCAUGCCUAACACAUGCAAGUCGAACGAGACCUUCGGGCCUAGUGGCGCACGGGUGCGUAACGCGUGGGAACCUGCCCUUAGGUUCGGAAUAACUCCCCGAAAGGGGUGCUAAUACCGGAUAAUGUCUUCGGACCAAAGAUUUAUCGCCUUUGGAUGGGCCCGCGUUGGAUUAGCUAGUUGGUAGGGUAAAAGCCUACCAAGGCGACGAUCCAUAGCUGGUCUGAGAGGAUGAUCAGCCACACUGGGACUGAGACACGGCCCAGACUCCUACGGGAGGCAGCAGUGGGGAAUAUUGGACAAUGGGCGAAAGCCUGAUCCAGCAAUGCCGCGUGAGUGAUGAAGGCCUUAGGGUUGUAAAGCUCUUUUACCCGGGAUGAUAAUGACAGUACCGGGAGAAUAAGCUCCGGCUAACUCCGCG
rnacentral:rRNA from 1 species